GAUGAACGCUGGCGGCGUGCCUAAUACAUGCAAGUCGAGCGAACAGACGAGGAGCUUGCUCCUCUGACGUUAGCGGCGGACGGGUGAGUAACACGUGGAUAACCUACCUAUAAGACUGGGAUACCUUCGGGAAACCGGAGCUAAUACCGGAUAAUAUAUUUAACCGCAUGGUUCAAUAGUGAAAGACGGUUUUGCUGUCACUUAUAGAUGGAUCCGCGCCGCAUUAGCUAGUUGGUAAGGUAACGGCUUACCAAGGCAACGAUGCGUAGCCGACCUGAGAGGGUGAUCGGCCACACUGGAACUGAGACACGGUCCAGACUCCUACGGGAGGCAGCAGUAGGGAAUCUUCCGCAAUGGGCGAAAGCCUGACGGAGCAACGCCGCGUGAGUGAUGAAGGUCUUCGGAUCGUAAAACUCUGUUAUUAGGGAAGAACAAAUGUGUAAGUAACUAUGCACGUCUUGACGGUACCUAAUCAGAAAGCCACGGCUAACUACGUG
rnacentral:rRNA from 1 species